GGCGCGGUGGCGCAGUGGUUUGCACUGUUGCUUCACGAUUAGGAGGUUCUGGGUUAGAACCCAGGCCAGCCA